GCGGCGUGAGCGGGGCGUGGAUCAGGUGGGGGCCGUGGCCGCAAGGAAGGACAGUAGUGUGGCAGAACUAGGGAGGGGAGGACGUGCGCGCGAGCAACAGAGCAACAGUUUCCAGGCGCUGCUGCAGCCUGUAGCGCGUACUGUCUGCCAACUUUCAACCGUCUCACUUUCUGCUAAGUACUGUUGCUUGACCUCCGUGUGAUGAAGUGACCGUGGUGAUGAAAAAUGAAAGUACGAGCGUGAUUUGAUAAUAGGAGAACUAGUGUAAGUAGAAAUAAUAAUGAUGGGUGAGGUGGUGUAAGUACUCAGUGUUGGGAACUACUAUGAUGAAGCACCUGUCGGAUACACCUGUGCUGCGCCUCAGGUUGUGCACAAGACCCUCAAUGUUGUUGGCAUUGCCGUGCUGUGCUGUGCUGUGCUGUGCUGUGCAAGGCUCGGGGAUGUAUUAAUACUGGUGGUGAUGGCCACGACACACUGACACACACACACACACACACACACACACACACACACACACACACACACACACACUGAUAGCACCACACACAUACAAGGCUUAAGGGAGGAUAUAUCACGUAACACACCACACAUACACACGCACAAGAGUAAUACAUAUAUACACAUGCAGAUAUACCUUCCUAACAAUAUAAAAUAAACAGUGAGCGUGAGAAAACAGGAAGGUCUUAGGACUAAUCCUCGUUGGUGAUAAGAGAGAUGCACUGUAGAUCAUUGCUGUGGGCCUCACCGGAAGGGAGGGUGAGGUUAAUAGAUACGGAAGAGAUGGAUGGGGAAGAGAAGCUGAAAAAAAUAAUAGAAUAAAAAUGAAUUAGAGUUGGAUGGUAAACCGGAUCAAGUGCAAGGCAAAGGUGAACGGUAACGAUGAGGCCCGGGGGUACGAGAGAGAGAGAGAGAGAGAGAGAGAGAGAGAGAGAGAGAGAGAGAGAGAGAGAGAGAGAGAGAGAGAGAGAGAGAGAGAGAGAGAGAGACUCGCCUUUCUCUUUAACGCUGCUGUGACAAGGGAUGAGGAGGGAAACGAGUGCCCUGCAGUGAGGAGGGCAAGGCACAGGGACGGCAGGGACAGGGAGAGGGAGAGGUGCUUCAGGGAUGAGUGCUUGUGACUACUGAGGGAGAUAUGGACGGUAGCUGGGGAGAAGCAGAGAGAGCGAGAGUGAGGAGGAGGUCAGGGAAGAGCAAACAGGCAGGUGAGAACUUUGUGACGUCUCUUUCACUCAGCCAUACACUCACUCAGUUGUCGUAAGCUUGGAAACACAAGAACUGGUGUGGUGAAACAGAAAAGUUUAUGCCGCGGUUUGACAUUUCCCGCCCUGAACACUGAACACGCCGGGCAUUAGUAAGGGCGGCCAAAGGUGGGUGUGUGGUGUGUGGCAGCAGCAGUCAGUGACUAGUGCCGGCGGGUGGCGGCGGCGGCGGUGUUGGAGGUGGUGCCUUACAAGGCGUGCAGGAAAGCCAUGACGGCUUUGGUGGCAGCAUGCAGACGGGCGGCAACGGACGGUCUGCCAAGUCUACCUGGGCUGGGCGGACUAGCACCCUGGCUGCUGCUGGCGGCGUGGACACAAGCGGCCGUCGCAAGAGUCAACGUGAAAUGGAGCCUUGUGUCGCUGCCUGUGUGUCACGUCAUGGCUGGGAGUCACGUGAGGGGUUUAUGGUUGAAUCUCGAGGGAACACGGGCGGAAAUGGAGGGAGGUGAUAAAGGAUUCCCACCGUUGCCCUUUCGCCACUCCCAGCCGGCAUAACGAGAGUAACACAAGAGGCUAAGGACACCACACAAUGUACACCUGCAAGAAAGAUCGAAAGAAAUAAGAACACGACGAAAGAAAAGAGAGAGAGAGAGAGAGAGAGAGAGAGAGAGAGAGAGAGAGAGAGAGAGA